rnacentral:rRNA from 1 species
CAAUCAUAAAAGGUGGCUUUUAGCUACCACUUACAGAUGGACCCGCGGCGCAUUAGCUAGUUGGUGAGGUAACGGCUCACCAAGGCGACGAUGCGUAGCCGACCUGAGAGGGUGAUCGGCCACACUGGGACUGAGACACGGCCCAGACUCCUACGGGAGGCAGCAGUAGGGAAUCUUCCGCAAUGGACGAAAGUCUGACGGAGCAACGCCGCGUGAGUGAUGAAGGUUUUCGGAUCGUAAAACUCUGUUGUUAGGGAA